AAAGGCGGUGCGUAACUUUGCCUCCUUGAAAGGAGGUGAAGAGGAAAGUCCAUGCUUGCAUAGUCUGAAAUGACUAUAGUGUUUGUGUAAGUAUAUAAAAAAUAAAACUUAACAACUGGAAAAACUAGUUGAUGGCGGAAAAAAGUUCUACGUAAACUAAAAAUUUAUAUGAAUAAUUCUCCCUAAAGUGCCACAGAGACGAGCUUUGCAGAAAUGCAAAUUAUGAAACGCGGUAAACCCCUCAAGCAAGAAACCUAAAAAUUGGUAAGGGAAUUCAGACAAAGGAAAAAAACGGAGUCUAAAAAUAUAAGUUUUUUCUUAUAUUAGAUUAAUUACUCACGUCUAACUAUCUCAUUUUUAAAAGAUGUUAGAUACAGAACAUGGCUUAUAGUC
ensembl:misc_RNA RNaseP_bact_b Bacterial RNase P class B